AGUGAACGCUGGCGGUAGGCCUAACACAUGCAAGUCGAACGGCAGCACAGUAAGAGCUUGCUCUUACGGGUGGCGAGUGGCGGACGGGUGAGGAAUACAUCGGAAUCUACUUUUUCGUGGGGGAUAACGUAGGGAAACUUACGCUAAUACCGCAUCCGACCUACGGGUGAAAGCAGGGGAUCUUCGGACCUUGCGCGAUUGAAUGAGCCGAUGUCGGAUUAGCUAGUUGGCGGGGUAAAGGCCCACCGAGGCGACGAUCCGUAGCUGGUCUGAGAGGAUGAUCAGCCACACUGGAACUGAGACACGGUCCAGACUCCUACGGGAGGCAGCAGUGGGGAAUAUUGGACAAUGGGCGCAAGCCUGAUCCAGCCAUACCGCGUGGGUGAAGAAGGCCUUCGGGUUGUAAAGCCCUUUUGUUGGGAAAGAAAAGCAGCAGGUUAAUACCCCGCUGUUCUGACGGUACCCAAAGAAUAAGCACCGGCUAACUUCGUG
rnacentral:rRNA from 1 species